rnacentral:rRNA from 1 species
CUACGGAGGGUCCGAGCGUUAUCCGGAAUCAUUGGGUUUAAAGGGUCCGUAGGCGGGCAGCUCAGUCAGUGGUGAAAGUUUGCAGCUCAACUGUAAAAUUGCCAUUGAUACUGGUUGUCUUGAAUUAAUGUGAAGUGGUUAGAAUAAGUAGUGUAGCGGUGAAAUGCAUAGAUAUUACUUAGAAUACCAAUUGCGAAGGCAGAUCACUAACAUUAUAUUGACGCUGAUGGACGAAAGCGUGGGGAGCGAACAGGAUUAGAAACCCCAGUAGUCC